rnacentral:rRNA from 1 species
GACGAACGCUGGCGGCGUGCUUAACACAUGCAAGUCGAACGCUGAAGCUCAGCUUGCUGGGUGGAUGAGUGGCGAACGGGUGAGUAACACGUGAGUAACCUGCCCUCUUCUUUGGGAUAACGCCCGGAAACGGGUGCUAAUACUGGAUAUUCACUGAUUCUCGCAUGGGGGUUGGUGGAAAGGUUUUUUCUGGUGGGGGAUGGGCUCGCGGCCUAUCAGCUUGUUGGUGGGGUGAUGGCCUACCAAGGCUUUGACGGGUAGCCGGCCUGAGAGGGUGACCGGUCACAUUGGGACUGAGAUACGGCCCAGACUCCUACGGGAGGCAGCAGUGGGGAAUAUUGCACAAUGGGCGAAAGCCUGAUGCAGCGACGCCGCGUGAGGGAUGGAGGCCUUCGGGGUGGAAACCUCUUUCGCUCAUGGUCAAGCCGCAGCUUUGGGUUGUGGUGAGGGUAGUGGGUAAAGAAGCGCCGGCUAACUACGUG